rnacentral:rRNA from 1 species
GAGACAGCAGUAGCCACGGGAAUACGAAGGGGGCUAGCGUUGUUCGGAAUUACUGGGCGUAAAGCGCACGUAGGCGGACAUUUAAGUCAGGGGUUAAAUCCCGGGGCUCAACCCCGGAACUGCCUUUGAUACUGGGUGUCUAGAGUAUGGAAGAGGUGAGUGGAAUUCCGAGUGUAGAGGUGAAAUUCGUAGAUAUUCGGAGGAACACCAGUGGCGAAGGCGGCUCACUGGUCCAUUACUGACGCUGAGGUGCGAAAGCGUGGGGAGCAAACAGGAUUAGAUACCCGCGUAGUCCCUGUCUCUUAUAU